GACUGGUGUGGUGAUGUGUGCGCGCGCGAGAGGGCGAGACUGCCAAGUUAAUAACAGCGUAAUUCUCAGCAUGUAUGGGAAGAAACUAUAUAUAUAUAUAUAUAUAAAAAUCAAACGUAGACUAGUGGCCCACGCAGGUCCAAACAGACCGGCCCACCGGGGAUUCUCCCGCACUUCCCAAUGGCCAGCCCGCGCCUGGCAGGAGCCCUGUGUAAACCAUCGUGGAGAGGAGUCCUCUGCCUGGGAGUUCUGGACUGUGUGGGCUGUUCUCCGCUGGCUCCUGUGUGCAGCUCUACUCGGCUCUGCAGCUCUGGUGCCAUGGGGCUUUCACAGGGUCCACAAUGCUCAGGAUGCUUCACCUGAAGAGAUAAUAAGAUCUGAAGAAACCUGCACAGCGUCCAGUUUGGUGUGAUUUAUUCAGCUUUGAACACAACAGGAGUCUGUGGUGUUAGGGAGAGCUGCAGGUGCCAAACUCACACAACAGGGUUCUCUCUGACUGUCAGCUCUCUGUGAGGAGCAACUGGAGCAGUUUUCAAAAUAUCAAGCUGCAUUCUAAUGUAUUGUAAUGUUCAUUCCAAUCUGUAAUUGUUGUUAAUUAGCUUCUACUAUUGCUUUGUAUCCCUCUGUGGAAAGGUAUCUGUAACUGGAGCGGUCAAGGCCAGCGGUGCACUAUUAUUAAAUAAACUAAAUAAAAAGAAUAAACAGCUGGCCAUCUCAGGGCUUCUGCAUACUGGGGCGUGUCCAAGCCAACUCCUCCAAGCUGACUGUCAAACCCCAGGCUUGUAUCC